ensembl:lncRNA
UUUUGAAAGAGAUGUUUAUAUUGUUGCUCAGGCAUUCUUUCACUUUAUUAAAUUAGAAAGAAGUUCAAGGAACAAGCAUUUUGUCAGCUGGCUAUCCUCUUUCUUAAUUAACGAAUCGUUUUGCAGGUUUAUAUAUUUAUUUAAUAAUUUUUUUUUUUUUUUUUUUUUUGACUGUAUGAACAUGACAGUAUUUAGUUUUUUAUAAUUUUGUUAUUAUAAUUUUUAUUUUUAAACCCUUGGCUGUUAUGGUAUGCAAUUGUUGUUUGUGUGUUAAAAAGAAUAAGUUCCCCUUGCAGUCACUAAUUUAGUUUAAAUUUCAUCACUGAUAAUCAAAAUGACGUAUUUAAAAAAUAGUAUACAAAAAAAGUAUACAAAUUAGUCCCCACCUACACUUAAUCGCACCAGCUUGGACUACCUGUUUCACUUUCACUCGGUUAACUUCAGUAGUAAAUGUUACACAAUGGCAGGACUGCCAACUCUCACGCAUUCAGCAUGACUCACGCCACACCUUAAUUUUCUCACAUGGUGAAAAGCAAGAGCUUCCUCAGCUGAAACGGUGAUAAUCAGUGGCGUACUGGGCACCCCUGUGGUGCCAUGGGGGCCCCAUCACAGGACAUUCUAAAAGGCAUUCACAAAUCACACAGAAUGUGUUUUUGCUUUGAAAAAUGCAAGAAGCGGCAGAGGAAUUUUGGGGAAAAACAACUUAAGGUUCACUUCAAUGCUGCUAUGACGUCAUCGCUAUGGGAACAUUAUACCAUCACGCCUGACGUACCUUAGAUAGCUGGAAGACCGAGGAAAGAUUCUGCUCAAGCAGAAGGGACCGGGGAGCCAAGAGCCAUCCUCACAUCCAGACAAGUAGAACUUGAUGAAAGUGCUAGGAGAGGACUAACCUGCCACAGCACAGACAUCUCCCAUCAAAGGCCCAUUAAAGAGAGCUUAAGAAGAAGCCAUUGCUCUUGCAGAAAGAGCACGCAACUUUAGAGGUGAAGUCACAUCACGCGCAUCAUAGGCUAGAGAAAUAGUCACUAUCUGACCCCGCAUAGCAGUGGAGAAAGCCUUCAACCACUUGCUGAGUCGAAGCAGCCUUAGGAUUAACUAGGCCUAGGAAGCAAUAAGACUUUAACCAGCCUCGGGGCAAAGUCCAUACAAAAGGGGCUGACAGAGCCUGCAGAUCCUUAGUCCUCUAAGAGAGGAUAAGAUUACCAAAAAACUGCUUAAGGUUUCAAAGUUAUCUGACAGACAAUCCAUGUAUGAGACCACAGCCGUGUUGUCAGUCCUAGACCUAAUAUGACAACCACUCAAUUGGGUAAGAACCAUUUGAGUGCAAGAAAGCCGCUCCAAUCAGUUUGUGUGAUUGAGCUAAUAUCAGCCAGUCGUCAAGUUAACUAAAAAUUCAGACAUUCUGCAACAGCAGGGC